GUUCCAUUCAUAACCAGUUGGAUUUCGUAUAACUAUUGUAUUUGUUGCAUCCGUAUAAUAAAAAGCGUUAUACAAGUUCUCGUAGUUUUUCCGUGUUGCAGUUCCAUUGAACUUGUGUUCAACUGCGUGUUGAAUGUCAUUAGAAUCUCGGAACCAUCGAACGUGAAACUGAACAUGUGAAGCGUCAUAAGGGUAAUUCCAGUAGCAUCUUAACGCCACAGAUUCUCUUUGCGGUUUAUUGUCCGGUCUUGCUUUUGGUCUCAUGAUAACUGGAACUACACC
rnacentral:lncRNA from 1 species